UAUUAUUUAGUCGACGUCGUCCGUAAGGCGCGUACGGGCCUAACGAGCGUCGAAACUAAGCCCGUCGUUAAAAUAUUUUAACGACUUUUAACGACGGGCUUAGUUUCGACGCUCGUUAGGCCCGUACGCGCCUUACGGACGACGUCGACUAAAUAAUA
rnacentral:pre_miRNA from 1 species